rfam:Proteiniborus sp. DW1 genome assembly, contig: DW1_contig14
GGGAGCCGGAUGAGCUGAGAGGUUCAAGUCCGGUUCUGAGAGAGACUGAGGGUGAGACUCCCUUGGUCUACUCACC